rnacentral:rRNA from 1 species
AGAGUUUGAUCCUGGCUCAGGAUGAACGCUAGCGGCAGGCCUAAUACAUGCAAGUCGAACGGUGUCUUCGGACAUAGUGGCGCACGGGUGCGUAACACGUAUGCAACCUACCUUACAUUGGGGGAUAGCCUUUCGAAAGGGAGAUUAAUACCGCAUAAGACAGUAACUGGGCAUCCAGUAGCUGUUAAAGAUUUAUCGAUGUAAGAUGGGCAUGCGACCAAUUAGUUAGUUGGCGAGGUAAUGGCUCACCAAGACGAUGAUUGGUAGGGGAACUGAGAGGUUAAUCCCCCACACUGGCACUGAGAUACGGGCCAGACUCCUACGGGAGGCAGCAGUAGGGAAUAUUGGGCAAUGGAGGCAACUCUGACCCAGCCAUGCCGCGUGCAGGAAGAAGGCGUUAUGCGUUGUAAACUGCUUUUUUAUAGGAAGAAGGAUCCCUUGCGAGGGAAGGUGACGGUACUAUAAGAAUAAGCACCGGCUAACUCCGUGCCAGCAGCCGCGGUAAUACGGAGGGUGCAAGCGUUAUCCGGAUUCACUGGGUUUAAAGGGUGCGUAGGCGGGUAGGUAAGUCAGUGGUGAAAUCCUGGAGCUCAACUCCAGAACUGCCAUUGAUACUAUCUAUCUUGAAUAUUGUGGAGGUAAGCGGAAUAUGUCAUGUAGCGGUGAAAUGCUUAGAUAUGACAUAGAACACCCAUUGCGAAGGCAGCUUACUACGCAUAUAUUGACGCUGAGGCACGAAAGCGUGGGGAUCAAACAGGAUUAGAUACCCUGGUAGUCCACGCCCUAAACGAUGGAUACUCGACAUACGCGAUACACUGUGUGUGUCUGAGCGAAAGCAUUAAGUAUCCCACCUGGGAAGUACG